rnacentral:tRNA from 1 species
CGUCGAUGGUGCGGGGCAGGAAGCGCUGGAGGUUGGUGCCCUCCGGCGUGACGCCGCCGCCGAUCAUCUCGGCGAUCGAGCC